GCGGGGAGAGUGGUGGCAGCGACAGCUGGAGGAGAGGCAGCAGCUGGGGGUGGAGAUGUGGAUUCUGCAUUCCCUACAAACGUGCCUGAAAAUCUUACACAGGAGAGAAGAGCAGUGUUGGGUGAGGCUCUGCUGGGAGGAACCGAGAAACGGCGCUUCCCUUCAGCAGCCACAGUGCAGAGGUGAUACUGCAGAGUUCUGCUAACAGCUGGAACGUACCUACAGUGCCCUAAAGGAGGGAAGUGCACGUAGUGCUCAGCUGCUGAGGCUGUGGAACAGGGAAAUCUGUCUGCUUGCUUUUCUUCCAGCGUCCUGCUAAAGGACUGGCAGCAAACUUGCUGAGUGUAGCACUGGGAGAUACUGCAGCUGGAGGCUUUGGGGCUCUUUACAGAGAUGGCAAUGAAGCCAGGUCUCGUUUAUCUGUAGAUUUCCCAUUCUGCACUAUGGGAGUGCAGCUCUGGCCCUUGCUGGCCUUAGUAGUGAGCCUGCAAAGACUCCACGGUUUGGCUGAGGUGUAGAGCAGAGCUCUUAGAACCGGUCCUGUGUAACAUUUUACUUACAUUUCUCCUUUGGAGCUGCAAGCAUGGAAAAGAAUGAAACAGGAAUAGUGAGUGAUCAGACAGAGGUCCCUCCUGGGUCAGAGCAUAACAGGUAGCAGACAGAAGAGCCCUCCCCGCAGCAUGGAACUGCUUACUGCUGCAGCUCAGCACACUCAGGCUUGUUGCUUGGCAACAGGAAUUUGUCUCUUGUGUCAUUUAACUAAUUUAGAAGAACAUUCAGACUCUUGGCCAUCGUGUUUUGAGAUGAACGUAUAAAUCUCAGAUGAAUCUAACGGUAAAGCCUGCUCUAGAUGUGUUAGCAUUGAGCACCAUUCUGUAAGCUCAGAAGCUCUGUCAGAGCUUGUAGGGGGCUGUUAAGCUUCUGUUGAAGAGGAGGGAGGCCUGAACUGGCGAUGACCAGACGAGGGAGUAACCCUUAGGGAAGCAAAAGCCGUUUCUUGUCUCACCUGCCCAGCUGCUUCUGCAGGUCCAGCAUGUACUGAUAGCACUGAGCGUAGUAGUUGGUCUGAGACUCCACAAACUCAUGGAGACAGCGAAGAUGAUUCACCUGGAUGGAGAAGGACCAGAAGCCAGGCUGAGUUUGGGUGCCAGGACACCAUGGUUGAAUAUUUUCAUUGUCAAGUUGGGAAAGCUGCAGAAGGCCAAUGGUGAUAGGAGAAAGGAGGCUGUUCUGGCACUCCAGCAGCGUGCACGUGGCGAGUGCACAAGAGAAGAACAAGGUGUUUGUGCCUCAGACACACCUGGAGGACUGGGCAUCCCAGUGGCACUGCCUGUGCAUGCCUCGUUAUGAUUUUAGUGUGAGCACUCCAAGCCUUUGGAGGAGGUUGCUGUUACAUCUCAAUUGAUGAGCUCUUCUACGUCUGCUCCCGGUGAAGGGCUCAUCAUCCCCUUGGCAGCCUUCUAUAAAAGAGCCAAGAGCCUCUCAGCCCCCACCCCAGCUACCCGGGAAGACUCACGUGUGUGCUGCUGAUCCCCUCCAGCAGCAGACGUGUCACCUCUGCCUGCCGAUCAAACUCGGUCUGAGUGAGCCGCAGCUCGUGCUCUGCCUGCAAAACAGGAUGGGGUGUUCGACACAGCAAAGGCAAGGACCCCUGUUCUGCUUUUUCCAGGGGAAGCCAAUACCCACCUCCUCCUCUAACCCCUCCUCCCCUUUUGGCACUGAGAUGAGUGUGGUGAUGGCUUAGUAGGGUCCGUGUGGCACUGAAUGUCAGGCACAGGACACCCUGGGUUGGAAUCCCAGUGGUCUCUGGCUGUAUUUCAACUUGAUUCCUGCUCAAUCAUUCAUUGAAUCACUGCAGCUCAUGGCAUGACAGCUCAAGACUGAUACGUCAAGCCAGGAUGCUCCUAAAUUAGAACGUGAGGUUGGAGAGGUUGUGUUAAUCCUGAGAUAGGUGGAAAGCCAACGCUGCGCUACCACCCAUCCCUUUACUGCCUGCUGUAGUGCUCCACGAACCGCACAGCCAGCGCUGCACAUCAGUGUCCGCCCCAAGCAAAGUGUCAUUGGAAGCAGGACAGUUCUUGUCAGCAUGCCUGCAAGUCUGCUCCAAAGUGCAGUUGUGGAGCAUUGCUGACACCCCCUCCUAUCCCUCAGGUCUCUCCAGAAGUGCCACUUCUGCCAGUGUCCUUUUUAUCACCACAGAACAAAGGCUGAGGCCAGGGAGCAUUUCCCAGAUUAAUAACUACACUCCAGCUGAGAUGACGAUCCAGCUUCUACCAAAGGCUCUCCUUUAAGGCUAGUUACUUAUUUUGAGCAGGAGGAAUUCAACCGUGGUUAUCAGAAGGCAGCUAUGCAGUAGACAUUGGGAAUUCAAAGACAAACUGACACCUGAGACUCUGCCUAAUACAGAGCAUCUCUUCCCCCAGCAGCAAACAGCUUACUUCCACUAAGGCAGCGUUGCAGUACCAGAACACCCCGAUGAUUUCUUGCAUGAGAAGAGCUCCAGAAGUGGCAGAGCUGUCUGAGGCUCUGCUGCCCGCUCUCCCCCCAGCACCACAGGGUGACAAACAGGAUUAUUUGUCCCCGUUCCUUAGCACCAAGGAGGACGUGCGAGUUGUACUGCUGUAUGAAUAGGCUGGAAGCAAUAAAUGCUUUGACUGUCUUUUAAUCAGAUUUGCCUAUUUUAAGCUACAAACGAUCUAUUUUCUUGCAUCCUCUGUAUAAAAGGGAUUAUUUAAAGGAGAAGAGGGGACUAUGCUAGGAAAAUCUCAGUACAGAGCCUUAUCAAGCACCAAGAUUUUUGCUUCAGUUUGCAGAGCAGAGACUCCAGUAGUGGUAGAGCUGUCUGAAACUCGUGACCGACAACAGCAACACUUCAGUCCAUCCAACCAGGACUAAAGGAACAGAGCCCUGCGUGCCUGUGACUGCAGUCAGCUCAUUUGUUUGAGGGACUGAAGAAGAAUUUAAAGUAAGAACGGCUGGUCUGCUCUCACGAUGCAUUUAGAGUAAGGCAGCAAUGGGAUGCUAUCAUGCACAGCAUGCAGGAAUGUGCCAUUCUAUCCCCCUGCAGUUCAGGCUACCAUCUGAUUGGGGGUAUCUGACACGUGAAAGGCAAUGGGAAGGUGCCUCUGGAAGCCCCAUGCCAUGCUGGAGCUCCACACAGAGUUCACCCUGGUCUUUAGUCCAUCAGCAGCCCAUCCAUCUUCAUAGAUGAGUUACAAACCCAAGAAUAUAUAUAAACAAGAUCUGGGACUUGGCCCUGUGGAUCCCCUCAGCAGGGAAGGUGCAGCUCACCAGACUGAACUCCACGGCGGGCUCCAAUCCUCCCACCCUGCCCUCCUCACAGAGCCGUUCCCUCCAUCAGCAGGGGCUGUUCACAAGGAAACCUUCAGUCCUCACUCCAGCCCUGCUCAGAGCUCCUGCCUGCUCCCCGGGGCAAGCAGGCAAUGGACUCCUGGCUGCUAACACAAGGCACAUGCAGCACUGGAGCAGGCAGGGCCCUUCCCACAGGAGCAGAGCUGAACUGUGGUACAGACAUCAACUCUGCUCCUGUGACACCCGUGCAGGGCUCUCCCAGCUGCUCGUAAUCACAAGCAGGCCUGGUUUGCCUGGGAAAUCCUUCACAUUAAGCAUGGCCAGCUGGCCCAGGGGCAGCUUCCUCCCAGAACAGCAAUGAGCAGCACAGCCACAGCACUGGGACCGGGGCUGACAGCUCAGGCACCGAUUUUCCCGUGCCCACACGAGUGGGGAGGAGCCUGCAGCCCCCCCACUGAAUGCCGCCAGCGCCCCAAAAAGGUUUGAGCACCAUUUCAGCUGGGUACUUACUUUUUCCACCUCGUCGCUCCAAAGCUGUGGGGACCACAGAGCAACAGGAAAGGAGGUCAGUGUUGGAGACGUCGAGAGGCACUCGGCAUUAACACCUAUGGGCAAGGACGCUCCGUGGACGCAGCAGGCCAGCUCCAGGGACAGCCAGCCCUUCACCCAGCAGCAGCUGCCAGGCUUGGGUCCCUUCCUCUCACUCCUGCAUUCCUGAGCUCGGUUUCACAAUGGGAGAGCAAGUCUGUGCCACCAAAGCCAGCACUCCAGCUCUGCUCCCUGCCAGCGUUUUUAAGAUAACUGUGUUUAAUGAGCUCCAGGAGGACGCAGUUAAGCAGCAGAGUCCUCUGGAGUGCAUGGGUUACUUUGCUGAAGCCUGCAGGACACAGUGUGGAAGGACAGCCCUUCUUUUAGGAGUGCUGUGAGGCUGGUGAGCUGCUUAAGCCCACAAAUAGGGCCUGGGAACUGCUGUGAGCUCAAGUCAGAGGCCAGCAAUCCUCAACCACUGGUCUAGAGAGCUCAGGUUAAUGGGUUCAGAAUCCAGGCAGCCUGCAGCUACCAGUGGUCAUGUUCAGCUACAGGAAGAAGGGAGCAAUGGCUGGAUGCUGCCUUCAAGCCAGGCAAAACAUCAAGCUACUCUCCUCCCUGGGUGCCUUCCUCUAGCCCUGCAGGUGAGAGCAGGCAGCUCCUCAGACAGACUUCCCCAGAAGUCUCCCAUCUCCUUUCAGUGUCCCCCACGGGGGCACAUUUGGGCAGCACAACACUGACAGCUGCUUGCUGGGAUCUGGCUCCAGGACAAGAAACAAUUGACAAAAGUCAUGCAUAGCGAUGGGCAAGGGAGAAAUGAGGUAGAAAAACACAUUGAUCCUUCCCAGAGGUCCUUGGCCUGGCCUUUCCUCAGCAGACAACUGCUCCUGAGCUCUGGCAACAUGAAGGGAUGCCACUAAGGCUCCCUGGAAGCACACCAGCCUGCCAGUAACACCCCCAUCCAUGGGGCUGGGGGAGAUGGCCUCACCUCUGCUGCCUCUGCAGACUGGGGAAGUUCAGCACAGCACUGCUCGAGCAUAGGUGGGAUGCUGGAGUGUGAGGAGAACCCCCUCUGUUUGUAUCCAGGAUCUCCCAGCUGAGCUUUGCUGCAGUUCGUUCACCAGGAACUGCCCUCAGGUGGGCUGUGGCAGCCCAGGUGCACAGACAGCCCCACCAGCAAAGUAAGGAGCGCCAGUGCUGCUGCUACGGGGGAAUGGCUGGGGCAGGAAGCUGUUGGUCCUGUGGUUCUGCUCCUGUUUCAUGGAGAGGGACUCACCACCCGGAUGACCUCCUCCUGCCUGGAGCCAGAGGAGCCUGAGUGCAUCCUGGUGGAGCUGAGAACUCACAGCAUUACUGGGUGCAGGGGAGAGCAGGACCACCUCUUUCAGCAGCAGCUUGCAGCAAGAUCAGAUGAAAGCAACAGCCAGCAAAGGAGAUUAGAGAACCUGAUGGCUGCAGAAACAGCUCUGCCCUGAACCAACUUCAGGAUCCACAUCCUGAGAUCAGGUAACGGUGCUGUGAGGCUCCCUGGUUUUGCUGUAAAAGAAACAUUCCUGCAGCUGACCCAGUUGAGCACCAGUUCUGUUUUUGUGCAGGGAAGCUGAUGAAGUGAUUAAUAAUGCAGGGCAGCCUUUUGCUGAGUGCCAUUCUCACUCUCCAGGAAGAAGAAAGUCAUGCUGCAUUCCAGGGCAUCAAUAAUUCAGCCAAAGGUUGGGUUUCCUCUGGGAGGCUUGGCUGGCCAGCAGGAAUGUUAGAUGCAUUACCAGAGACCAAGUGGACACACAGGCUGGCAGAUCAGGAGAGCAACACUUGGGCAACAGGCAAAGAUUACAAAAGGCACAGCUGAGCUGGACUACAGUUAGGGCAGCUGCAUUCACAGCUUGGGGAAAACUGCUCUUUCCCUAUGAGAGCAGUUAAAGGCACUGAUGGGAAUUCAGGAGAGCGAGCAAGCAGAGCUGAGCUGGAUGUGUCCCUCUGGACUACAGCUGUGCCUGCAGCCUGGCUACUUAGGGCCACCAAGGUUAAGCUUUAAAAUAGCACAUGCACUGUUUUCUUUGCUGAAAGCAUUAGCACCUUCCUCUCCUUAAAGCCAAAGGGAACAAACGCCGCUGCUGCCACAUCUGUUUUACACAGUGCAGCCUAACUGGUGUCUUCCAGGCUUGUGUGAUUUCCCCAUACCUCUCCCCUUCAACAGGCCCAGGCUGCUAUGCUGGCAGCUGUCAGGGUGGCUGCAGCCCCCUUGCAGGGCAUCUAGUGGCAGAAUUCAGGUCUUUGUCCCACUUGCAGGGUCACCAGCUUGUUCAGCUGAACGUUACUUAUGAGACAUCAUUAUAGGGUGAUUGUAUUCCACCUUAGGUCAUAAGGAUCGAACCAGAGCCAGGAGUCCUAAACCUGGAAUUGUCUGCUGCAUCUGUCAGUGUAUUUGGGCCAUUGGAUUUUCUGAAGCAUCUUAACAGCUUCUUAAUGCCCAGGGUAUUGUAAUAUUUGCACUUCUGGUGAUCAGAGAUAGCUGAACUGAUUCUGCCAUAAGUCCACCUCCCAUCCCGUACAGGGCUGCAUUAGGAAAGAAGCCUUCGCCACUUAGUCAGCAUCUAAAAGUUACCUGGAUCUCAACUGCUUUGGGCUACAUACAGAGUGUUUGGUCACUGGGAGUCACAAAAGCUAGGCUGUGGGCCAAGUAAAAUUGUGCUAAAGGACAGAAGGAAGCCAUUAACAGGACAGCUUCGUUAAGUUAGGAGCAAAGCAGUGAGGAAAGGACGCAAUCCUUCCCUUGUGUAUUAACGGACGUGUUUCUAAUGGAAACAUGCUCUGUCUUGUGCCCCUUGCCUUCAAAACCCUCUCCUGAAGUCACCUCCUGUACUCUUGAUUUUUAAGGUGCCCAGGAGCCAAGGCAUUAUCCUCAUUAACGUCAGAAAACAGAGGGGAAACAUCUACUUUAUCACCAGAGCUCAGGGAGAUGGAAGAGUCCAUCUUUGUCCGGGAGCUUUAAGAUGGAACAAGUCAAGAUACAGCUGCUAGUGGUAACUUUAGUCAGCACCCACUGACUUUCCAUCAGAACUGAUAGAAGGCAGACACCCACAAUCAUCUCCAGACAUCCCUCAGAAAAUCUGGCUUGCAGCCUGUCUAGAGCACAGCCGUCCAAUGUGUCACCUUCAGAACUGAUGCUAACUCCUACAGGGAGGCCAGAACUGCUUUUAUAACAUCCUCUGAGGAGGUUUGGGAUCAAACCCGUUUACUGAUAACUGGAAGAUGCAGGUGACAAAAAAAAAAAAGUCUUAUUCUCCUUCAGUGAAGAUAAGGAUGAUUUCUGUGAGGGCUGCCUGCAGGUGCCAGAGCUGUUAGGGAUGUAACUGCAUCCCUUGGAGGAUGCUAACUAGAUAGCGGCAACUGGUGAAACAAGUGUCAGUAUAGGAAAUCCUCAUCUGGGAUUCCAAAUCCUAGAAAAGCUCUUAAUCCAUGCAGUUGUACGAGCCUAGGAGUUUAUUUCCCACUCUCAUGGCAUCACGGCUUACAACUACCCUUUUCCUAUGCUUUAGCUUGUAACUGCUUCGCUUUUAUGAAGCAUUUUCUGAGAGCGUAAGAGAUGCCAUAAAGCCUGCAGGACGCUGCCCUGCGGGGGGGUACACAGCCUGGUAAGACAGUUGCUGCAUACACAGCUAUGGAGAAAUACUGCACAGCUCCUUCCCCAUGGCCGUGUCUGCCCUGCUCCUGCUGGACGGGCACUGCCUUGCCCCCCAGGAGAGGGGAGUCCAGCAAGGUGCCCCGAUUCUCCUCAGGUAGGAGAAUGGCUACGUGGUGCCUGGGGUAAGAAAAGCCACGUAAAGGUGGCAGUGGAUUGCUGAGGUCUUUUGUCAUGACCCGGGUUAAGCCUAGGCCAAAAAUCCUUCCUGCCCUUCAGCCAGCACCUACCUCAGGUUGUACCUGGCAGGUUUCAAAGCCAGGAUUGCUGCUGGACUAAGCCUCGGGGAAUCACUCCAGAGGUGGUUUCCUGGCCACAUUCUGCCUCCUUUUCGGAGGGCUUCAGAGGGCUCAGCAGUGCUACAGCCCUUUUCAGUACAAGGUAAACUGUCAUGUGCUGGCCAGACACCUCAGCCAGACAGCAAUAGCUAAUGCUGUCUGAGUGGCACAGCACAUAAUGGCCAGUCCAUUUAUCUCCCAGUUGCUGCAGUUCCAGUAAAGCAGCAUUUUGUUAAACGCCUGGAGCUGAGAAAAACAUCCCCAGAGCUAGAGAAAACAGGACUUAUUCCAGCCAGGUCCUAUUUGUCCCCUGGAAGAUCUGCUGUGCUGAAGUGGCUGCUACAAACCCAAUCUUCACCGCCAACAGCAGACCUUCCCUGCUAUUUCUGGCUCUUGGUAGUGACAGAGCAGCGCUCACCCAUGCUGGAUGAGGGCUCUUUGGGGACACCCACAUUUCAGAAAGCGGUUCUCCAUCUUGGUAAGGCAAUUCCUUCCAGCCUCCCUGGCCAGCACAAACACACGCAUCCUGCCUGCAAGUACCAGUGACCAUUUUCUUUCAAGUCAUUACUACUGUGACUACUCGCAUUAAUAUUCAUACACAAGAUGAUGUGGAGUAGGUGUCGCAAGCAGAAGCCACUACUUAUAAACGCCUCCUUGCUCUAGAACUGGUGUGCAGACUCUGUUCCCAUGCCUGUCUCCUUCCUACGCCUUGAAGCUGAAAAACCACUUAUCAGGGACUUACAAUACAUCUUCUAAACAUGCGAUUUCUUUACAGUAUUUCUUCCUUUCUUCUGCUAUCAAGGUCAUUUGCAUGAGAACAGCAUCUUUAAGCCUUCCAUCUGCUCCUUAUUUUGCACCUGUAGUUAAUAUUUAUUUUUUUUUUCAUGACAUAUGACUCAUUGGCAGGAUUACAGGAGAUGGUAUCUGUUUACCGGAGACCGGUCCCUAAAAGAGCCAGGAUUAUUCCACUGCACAGGGCCAUUUGGAACGACACAGCGCUGCUCUGUUUGUUUGUCAGCCCCCACAGCACGGGUAGGACAAGAAGCCCAGUCCCAAAACCGCCAGCAGGGGUUCAGCUCUCGGGCAGGGUGCCAACCAGCUCUGAUUUGCCUCUCUCCUCUCCUGCCUGCCCGGGGGCAGUUUCCCAGUUACCCCCGAGGAGCAGGCAGGCUCAGCAGCCACCUCUCACCACCUGCUGCACACUUUGUUCCUCACAAGUAGCCAAGCUCCUUCACUCUGUGGUUUUGGGACACGGCUGCAUCCCGGGCAGGCUCCUGGUGUUUCUAAAGGAUGGUUUGAUGCCACUUUAGUCCAGUGAGACAUUGCCUGCUCGGCCUCAGCAGCUCUUUCCCACCUCCGACAGCGCUGUGUUUUGUCAGAUCCUGGCAGCCUCUGCAGCCUGACCUCCUGGGUGACAAACGCCACUUCCACCCCACCUGCCUGACACAGCACAGACCCCCAGCGGGUCAGGUCGCUUGCUUAGGUGCACUUAGCAGCUAUCUACAAGACUGAAGAACAGCUUAAGGAUAACAAGAACAAUGCAACCAGCAUUCGCCCUGUUCCUCUGCCCCAGUGCAGCCAGGAGCAUCCCUGCUGCUAUCGCCCCAUUAACCCUUACGGAGCUCUGCCUGGCCUCCCCACCCAGCCCAGGAACACGGUCAGCUCUGCUCCACGUUACCCAGCACUGCUCACUGCAGAUGUAGCUGUGCGAGCCUCGAUGUCAGCCCCAAACGCUUUUCUACCUUACAGAAAGCUGGAAAAAACAAAACAGAGCAACAAAACUGCCCUAAACCCGUAACGUGUGCUUCAGAAAGCCUCCCCGUGCAGACUCUGGGCUGUACAGCGCGGGAUGCUCCGUGCCCUGAGGCAGAAGGGAGGAAUGGGGAAGACGACUGCAGGCCGGCGGGGGGAGCGGCCCAGGGCUGGGGCACCCCGCGGUGCUUCCCCUCGAACCCCGGGACUCCCCC